rnacentral:rRNA from 1 species
UACGUAGGUGGCAAGCGUUGUCCGGAUUUACUGGGUGUAAAGGGCGUGUAGGCGGGAUGAUAGGUCAGAUGUGAAAUGCCCAGGCUCAACCUGGGAGCUGCAUUUGAAACCAUCGUUCUUGAGUGUCGGAGAGGGAAGCGGAAUUCCUAGUGUAGCGGUGAAAUGCGUAGAUAUUAGGAGGAACACCAGUGGCGAAGGCGGCUUUCUGGACGAUAACUGACGCUGAGGCGCGAAAGCGUGGGGAGCAAACAGG